GGGCGGUAGUGCGCCUUAACAUUGGUUGCCAACGAAGAAGAAGAAGAAGUAGCUGCGAGCCAGGAGGGAGGGGGUGAGUGAGUGAGUGAGUGAGUGAUUCGUUCGCUCUAUGAUUCAGCACAGGAGGGAGGGGGUUAGCGAGUCAUGAGUGAUUCGCUCGCUCUAUGAUUCAGCACAGGAGGGAGGGGGUGAGCGACUCAUGAGUGAUUCGCGCGCUCUAUGAUUCAGCACAGGAGGGAGGGGGUUAGUGAGUCCUGAGUGAUUUGCUUACACUACGAUUCAGCACAGGAGGGAGGGGGUUAGUGAGUCCUGAGUGAUUUGCUUACGCUACGAUUCAGCACAGGAGGGAGGGGGUUAGUGAGUCAUGAGUGAUUUGCUUCCCCUACGAUUCAGCGCAGGAAGGGAGGGGAGAGACAGCCAGGUUCAUAAUGGAUAUAAGGAAGUUUUUUCAAAAACAGGAGCCACAUUCAGUCCAAAGAGGGAGAGCGGAAAGAGGGGAACGUGAGGAGAAAGUACAAGGUCAGGAAGAACCAGACAUGGCUGGUAAGGACAUGAGGAGGAAACAGUAGGAGCUGUGUGAGGCUACUAAAGGCAGUGGAUCUCUCAGCAGCUGGAUUACAAAGAGCACAGACUCUUUGCAGGUCCCUCCCCUAAUGAAGAGUAGUGAGCAGCUGAUUGGACCGUGGAACACGUGACCGUGUACAAAAAGCCGUUCUGACAGCUCCCGCCGGGAAGAAAGAGCGAGAGAGGGAGCGAAGCGGGCGAGCAAGCAGUUUGACAGCCG
ensembl:lncRNA